AUGGUUUAAACGAUAGACUAGACCUCAGCUGUUAUCUGUAAUCUUAUAUUUAAACACUUAGAAAACCAUGUAUGACUGCUCGCGUCAUAGAAACCACAUUUCAGCAAACUGACACUGCGAAUCUAUAUACUGAAGCAGAGCAAUACAAAUAGAGCAGAGCCAACAAUAUACCAAUUGAAAACUAUUUGCUGCUUAUCCAUUGCCGCUUACCAGAAGAAGGACAACCAAAACUGGAGUAAUCCCGGGAGCCAGUAGUAAACGGACUAUUGCAAUCUACAGCCAGCUACUUAGAAACAGCAUUGUGUUCUCCUAGCUGGGGCUCUUGUUGACAACUACUCAGAAUCAACAUUCAUGCAUAGUUUGUUCCCCAGACUUGGGAGCUUACUCUUGAGAAACUGAACUGACUUCCAAUAGACUGUAAUUUCAAAAGAUAUGCUAUACAUUUGAUGUCAGCAACACAGGAUCUCAAAGAAUCAAAAGGACUUUUGGUCAAGCUUUUCAAUACCUGUGAAAUUAUUUUUGUUGCCAAAUUCAAUUGUAGUUUAAAUAGUGGAGACUAUUACAGUCUGGAAGAUACCACUGUGGAUUAUAACAGUUGACUGUAUAUAUCAUUUUCAUUAUUGUUGUUAACUCUCAGAUAAUAUUGUAUGUAUAUGGUGCUCUGUAUUACAUAGUGCAACUCAUGUUUUGAAACUUUAUAGCAUUCGCUUAUCCUUUUUACAUAGAAGGAAUAUAGCUCUAUACUCAGAGGCCUGACUAUUUCUGUGGCCUUUGCAGGAUGCUCUAAUAUACAUAUCUCUUUUUAUGUUUUGAAUCUUUUCAUGUUUUGAACCUUUAUAGUGGGUGUUUAUCUCUUUGAUAUUGUCUAGUAUAGACAUUUGUGUGUAUUUAUCAUUAGGUGUCGACAGACAAUGCCAGGUCUUUGGCUUAGAAAUGGAGAUGAGCACCACCCCCAGAGUCAGAUACGACUAGACUUAACAUCAGGGGAAAACCUGUUAUGAUUGAGCCUCAUGGCUCUGUUACUGGCAGACGUGGGCGUAAGACUCCUCGAGAGUCAGAUACUCUCGAGGAGCGAGAAAGAAAGAGACUGCGAGAUAUCUUUGCAGCACCAUCUGACGAAGAGUCUUUUGAGGGGUUUACGGAGAGAAUGGAGGAGGGGCUGGUUAGCUCGGAGGAGGAUGAGAUGGAUUGGACUCGGGUGAGGGAGGAAUUGGGUGCCACUGGCAAUGAUGGGAUGGAAGAUGAAUGGGGACCUUCAGGAUUAGACCCAUGGACAAGCUGGAGGGAUGGGACGGGAUCCACAGCUGGGGAUGCUGUGGGGCGUAGUCAGAGGUGUUCCAGCUCUGAUGAGGAAAGUGAUGAGGAAACGCCCGGGUUAAGGAGGGCAGCUGAUAGUGAUGAGGAUUUGUAACUGGCAUAAAAUGAGGCUUGGGAGCAAUUGCAAAUUGCGUUGGGCAAGGUAAUCUGGACGAACGCUUGGGAUCUGUGUGGGACGCUUUCCUGAAGACUGGUGUGUUUUCGUGUGCUGAUACCUUUGACCUUCCGUCGUCUUCUUGACGGACGCCAUCUCCUGCUUUGGAUUUCGGACUGAACUGACCACGGCUUGACUUCCCCCUACUCGGACUUGGUGAAUCUACAAACGUCUGCUUCUGGCUUGAACUACGGAAAGGAACUGGGUCUACUCUACUGCUUCAAUCCUCGGCUGAUCUGUGUGUAUUGGAAAUCUUGCCUGCUGUGUGGAGGAGUGACUCAAGUUACUCAAAGCACAGUGCUGGCAGCAGAGAGGAAUCUGCUGCCAAUUAAUUGCAUUCUUUUGAACACUUUGUUCCCCGGCUUCUGUUUUGUUUAUCCCCAGGCUGAAGCAAGCUGUUUUGUUUUUACCCGGAUUAAACUCCGGUUUAAUCCGGUUUAUCUUUUGAACGUUUUUCCUUGCCCCUUUUUGCUUUUAAAGGCUAAUACUGCCUGGCCCUUGUAUUUUACGGGCAUUUUGAGUUCUGUUAUCCAAUAAACUCUGUUAUCUUUGA